rnacentral:rRNA from 1 species
GGCUUAGAAGCAGCCAUCCUUGAAAGAGUGCGUAAUAGCUCACUGGUCAAGUGGUUCUGCGCCGACAAUGUAGCGGGGCUCAAGCGCACCGCCGAAGCCGUGGCAGCAGCGCUUUUCGCCCUCCUCCCCCCUCUUUUGGAUGGGGUGGUGGGUGCGCUGCUGGGUAGGGGAGCGUCCUGCGCGGGGCGAAGCCCGGGGGUGACCCCUGGUGGACCGCGUGGGAGUGAGAAUGCAGGCAUGAGUAACGAAUUCUGCGGUGGGAAUCCGCAGCGCCGAUUGACUAAGGGUUCCAGGGCCAGGUUCAUCCGCCCUGGGUUAGUCGGGUCCUAAGGCGAGGCCGACAGGCGUAGUCGAUGGUCGACCAGUUGAUAUUCUGGUACCGCGCGGCGACCGCCAGUGCCGAUACCGCUGUGCUAACCGCCCGCACCGCCCUCUCCUGCGCUUUCGGGCGCGGGGGUGGGGGGUGUCGCGGGGCCCCGGUGGUGGAGGCAAGCGUGUUGACAGGGGUGACGCAGGAAGGUAGCCGCAAUGCGCCGGUGGUUGUGCGUAUUCAAGGCUGUGGCCCGUCCCCCAGGCAAAUCCGGGGGGCAUGCGGGUGAGGGCUGAGGAGGGACACACGCGUGUGUGGACUUGUGGUGAUCCUAUGCUGCCGAGAAAAACCCCGACGUGAGGGCGCCGCGCGCCCGUACCCCAAACCGACUCAGGUGGUCAGGUAGAGCAUACCGAGGCGUUCGAGUGAAUCAUGGUUAAGGAACUCGGCAAAAUUCCUCCGUAACUUCGGGAUAAGGAGGACCCCUUGGCCUGCCCCCGCCGCGCGCGGGGGCGGGGCCGGGGGGUCGCAGAGAAUAGGGAGAAGCGACUGUUUAUCAAAAACACAGGUGCGUGCGAAGCCGCAAGGCGAUGUAUACGCACUGACGCCUGCCCGGUGCUGGAAGGUCAAGAGGAGCCCUCAGCCCCCCCAGUGGGGGCGAAGGGGCGAAUUCAAGCCCCAGUAAACGGCGGUGGUAACUAUAACCAUCCUAAGGUAGCGAAAUUCCUUGUCGGGUAAGUUCCGACCUGCACGAAUGGCGUAACGACUUCUCCGCUGUCUCAACCGUGAACUCGGUGAAAUUGCAGUACGAGUAAAGAUGCUCGUUUCGCGCAGAAGGACGGAAAGACCCCGGGACCUUUACUAUAGCUUGGUAUUGGUGUCCGCUUGUGCUUGUGUAGGAUAGGUGGGAGACUGUGAAGCGGCCGCGCCAGCGGUGGUGGAGUCGUCGUUGAAAUACCAUUCUGGUUCAAGCGGGCGCCUGAACCUGGGCCCGUGAUCCGGGCCGGGGACAGUGCCUGGUGGGUAGUUUAACUGGGGCGGUUGCCUCCUAAAAGGUAACGGAGGCGCUCAAAGGUCCCCUCAGCCUGGUUGGCAAUCAGGUGGCGAGUGCAAGUGCACAAGGGGGCUUGACUGUGAGACCGACGGGUCGAGCAGGUGCGAAAGCAGGAACUAGUGAUCCGGCCAUGGCACGUGGGUGCGUGGUCGCUCAACGGAUAAAAGGUACCCCGGGGAUAACAGGCUGAUCUUGCCCAAGAGUCCAUAUCGACGGCAUGGUUUGGCA